ACGACAGGGUGCCGCAUGGUUGUCGUCAGCUCGUGUCGUGAGAUGUUGGGUUAAGUCCCGCAACGAGCGCAACCCUUAUUGCUAGUUACCAUCAUUAAGUUUGGGGACUCUAGCGAGACUGCCAGUGAUAAACUGGAGGAAGGUGGGGGAUGACGUCAAAUCAUCAUGCCCCUUAUGACCUGGGCUACAAACGUGAUACAAUGGCUGAAACAAAGGGCAGCGAAGGAGCGAUCUGGAGCGAAACCCAAAAAAGCAGUCUCAGUUCGGAUUGAAGUCUGCAACUCGACUUCAUGAAGUCGGAAUCGCUAGUAAUCGCGGAUCAGAACGCCGCGGUGAAUACGUUCCCGGGCCUU
rnacentral:rRNA from 1 species